UCGGUCCUAUGGANUUGGUAAACCGCAUGCUAACCGCGUGCAAGUAAGUCCGCCCUGGGGGAGUACAGUCGCCAGAUNAAACUGANAGUACUGAUCGGGGACUCCGCACAAGCGGUGGAUGAUGUGGAUUAAUUCGAUGCACGCGAAAAAUCUUACCUACCCUUGACAUGGCAGGAAUCCCGGAGAGAUCCGGGGGUGCUCGAAAGAGAACCUGCACACAGGUGCUGCAUGUCUGUCGUCAGCUCGUGUCGUGAGAUGUUGGGUUAAGUCCCGCAACGAGCGCAACCCUUGUCAUUAGUUGCUACGCUAGAGCACUCUAAUGAGACUCCCGGUGACAAACCGGAGGAAGGUGUGGAUGACGUCAAGUCCUCAUGGCCCUUAUGGGUAGGGCUUCACACGUCAUACAAUGGUACAUACAGAGGGCCGCCAACCCGCGAGGGGGAGCUAAUCCCAGAAAGUGUAUCGUAGUCCGGAUUGUAGUCUGCAACUGGACUACAUGAAGUUGGAAUCGAUAGUAAUCGCGGAUCAGCAUGUCGCGGUGAAUACGUUCCCGGGUCUUGUACACACCGCCCGUCACACCAUGGGAGCGGGUUUCACCAGAAGUGGGUAGCUUAACCGCUAGGAGGGCGCCUACCACGGUGGGAUUCGUGACUGGGGCGAAGUCGUAACAAGGUAACCGU
rnacentral:rRNA from 1 species